UGGGGAAUUUUGGACAAUGGGCGAAAGCCUGAUCCAGCAAUGCCGCGUGUGUGAAGAAGGCCUUCGGGUUGUAAAGCACUUUUGUCCGGAAAGAAAUCCUUGGCUCUAAUACAGUCGGGGGAUGACGGUACCGGAAGAAUAAGCACCGGCUAACUACGUGCCAGCAGCCGCGGUAAUACGUAGGGUGCAAGCGUUAAUCGGAAUUACUGGGCGUAAAGCGUGCGCAGGCGGUUUGCUAAGACCGAUGUGAAAUCCCCGGGCUCAACCUGGGAACUGCAUUGGUGACUGGCAGGCUAGAGUAUGGCAGAGGGGGGUAGAAUUCCACGUGUAGCAGUGAAAUGCGUAGAGAUGUGGAGGAAUACCGAUGGCGAAGGCAGCCCCCCUGGGCCAAUACUGACGCUCAUGCACGAAAAGCGUGGGGGAGCAAAACAGGAUUAGAUACCCCUGGUAGUCCACGCCCCUAAAACGAUGUCAACUAGUUGUUGGGGGAUUCAUUUCCUUAGUAACGUAGCUAACGCGUGAAGUUGACCGCCUGGGGAGUACGGUCGCAAGAUUAAAACUCAAAUGAAUUGACGGGGUCAUAGCUGUUU
rnacentral:rRNA from 1 species